ACGAACGCUGGCGGCGUGCUUAACACAUGCAAGUCGAGCGGUAAGGCCCUUUCGGGGGUACACGAGUGGCGAACGGGUGAGUAACACGUGGGUAAUCUGCCCUGCACUUCGGGAUAAGCCUGGGAAACCGGGUCUAAUACCGGAUAUGAGCUCCUGCCGCAUGGUGGGGGUUGGAAAGUUCUUCGGUGCAGGAUGAGUCCGCGGCCUAUCAGCUUGUUGGUGGGGUAAUGGCCUACCAAGGCGACGACGGGUAGCCG
rnacentral:rRNA from 1 species